rnacentral:lncRNA from 1 species
GCAAAACAAACUCGGAAACAGAGAGAAGAGCCGUGGUCAUCAGCGUUUGGGCGUCGUGGAAAGGGAGAGAUGUUGGUCAACGGGUACAAACUUCCAGUUAUAAGAUGAACAAGUUUGGGAAUCUCACUUUCCUUCAGAAAUGUGGGACAGUUUAGCAAAUCUGAAAAUUGUGUGGACACACACACAAGCUCCUGCUGCUGGAGAAGAGAGGGGAUGCAUGCGUCCGCCUGGCCUGGCCCUCUGGGCCCACGGCCAGAACCCGGAGCUCUAAGCAGACCGCACGGUGCACACUGGGCCGCUGGCUUUCACAAGCUGGCUCUGCACGGGCCACCAGGUGGAAGAACUCUCUGAUCCUCAGGGAAGCCAAAGUCCAGUGGACUCUGCAGGGAACAGCCAAGACAGGCAGCAGGUGCCGGUGUCCCCCAUCUCCUGGAAUAGGGAUUUUAAGGGGCCUGGAAGCUGGUCAGAACAAGAUGCAAGGAAGCGCUGGUUCUUUUACCAGUUCUCGAAGGCGUCUGGGACUCAUGAAAGGGCAAGGGCCACUGUCAGAGCGGAAGACAGGACAGCCAGAGCGAGCACCCGGGUGAAUGUCCCAACACAGGAUGGUCAGCAGGGAACGAAUCCGGGUCCUGCCCAGGGCUCAGGUGUCGGGGGCUGGUGACAGGUGAGAACACGCCUUGGGCUGGUGCUCUCUCUGUGAAACACAACCACACUGUCUCCUGCUGACAGGCAGUUGGGACAAUAAACCAAGGAUUCUUCUGGUCAGAUAAGUGGUUUAGACUGAUAAGAUGAUGCUAUACAUUUGCCAAUGGCUGUCCCCUUUAAGGACUCAAGGUGGAGAUCAUGACAGAUGUGAGUGUCCGGGGAUGCUGUGGAACCUCACUGAGAGCACAAAGGGUGCUGACUUCUUUCCAUGGGGAGAGGUCUCCUUCCUCCGAUGCUUCACCUCGAGCCUCUUCAGCAUCCCCUUCCUUCCCUUUGCCUGCUGUGUUCUCAGCGAUGGUGACAGGCUUGAACCAUGACAACCACGGCCUUUUCCAUGCACAAGGCAAGGCCGCACACCAGGCCCCUGUGCUGAAUGUGUUCUUGUCGUUGUCGCUGAGUCCCAGCAGUACUCUUCUAAUUGGGCGUCAUUCUCGUUUUGCGGAGGAGGAGACUGAAGCUCAGAGAGAUGAGCCCCCUUGCCAAGUCCCACAGCUAGGACACAGAGGAACCCAGAU